GAGGACAUAACUCAGUGGUAGAGUGCAUGCUUAGCAUGCACGAGGUUCUGGGUUCAAUCCCCAGUACCUCCA
rnacentral:tRNA from 1 species